rnacentral:rRNA from 1 species
CAGCUGACGGUACCUGACGAAUAAGCCGCGGCAAACCCCGUGCCAGCAGCCGCGGUAAUACGGGGGUGGCAAGCGUUACUCGGAAUUAUUGGGUGUAAAGGGCAGGUAGGUGGCUCUGUAAGUGAGGGGUGAAAUCCUGCGGUUUAAUCGCAGAACAGCCUUUCAAACUGCAGAGCUUGAGUGUGACAGAGGAAGAUGGAAUUCCUGGUGUAAGGGUGAAAUCUGUAGAUAUCAGGAAGAACACCAACGGCGAAGGCAAUCUUCUGGGUCACUACUGACACUGAGCUGCGAAAGCUAGGGGAGCAAACAGAAUUAGAUACUCUGGUAGUCCUAGCCGUAAACGAUGAAUACUAGGUGUUGGUCCUUUCGGGGAUCAGCGCCGAAGCUAACGCAUUAAGUAUUCCACCUGGGGACUACGGUCGC